AGUAAUACAUCGGAACGUGUCUUCUAGUGGGGGAUAACUGCCCGAAAGGGCAGCUAAUACCGCAUGAGACCUGAGGGUGAAAGCGGGGGGAUCGCAAGACCUCGCGCUGGAAGAGCGGCCGAUGUCCGAUUAGCUAGUUGGUGAGGUAAAGGCUCACCAAGGCGACGAUCGGUAGCUGGUCUGAGAGGACGACCAGCCACACUGGGACUGAGACACGGCCCAG
rnacentral:rRNA from 1 species